rnacentral:rRNA from 1 species
GACGAACGCUGGCGGCGUGCCUAAUACAUGCAAGUUGAGCGCUGAAGGUUGGUACUUGUACCAACUGGAUGAGCAGCGAACGGGUGAGUAACGCGUGGGGAAUCUGCCUUUGAGCGGGGGACAACAUUUGGAAACGAAUGCUAAUACCGCAUAAAAACUUUAAACACAAGUUUUAAGUUUGAAAGAUGCAAUUGCAUCACUCAAAGAUGAUCCCGCGUUGUAUUAGCUAGUUGGUGAGGUAAAGGCUCACCAAGGCGAUGAUACAUAGCCGACCUGAGAGGGUGGUCGGCCACAAUGGGACUGGGACACGGCCCAAACUCCUACGGGAGGCAGCAGUAGGGAAUCUUCGGCAAUGGACGAAAGUCUGACCGAGCAACGCCGCGGGAGUGAAGAAGGUUUUCGGAUCGUAAAACUCUGUUGGUAGAGAAGAACGUUGGUGGGAGUGGAAAGCUCAUCAAGUGACGGUAACUACCCAGAAAGGGACGGCUAACUACGUG